rnacentral:rRNA from 1 species
UACGUAGGUCCCGAGCGUUGUCCGGAUUUAUUGGGCGUAAAGCGAGCGCAGGCGGUUUGAUAAGUCUGAAGUUAAAGGCUGUGGCUCAACCAUAGUUCGCUUUGGAAACUGUCAAACUUGAGUGCAGAAGGGGAGAGUGGAAUUCCAUGUGUAGCGGUGAAAUGCGUAGAUAUAUGGAGGAACACCGGUGGCGAAAGCGGCUCUCUGGUCUGUAACUGACGCUGAGGCUCGGAAGCGUGGGGAGCGAACAGG